GAUGAACGCUAGCUACAGGCUUAACACAUGCAAGUCGAGGGGCAGCAUGAACUUAGCUUGCUAAGUUUGAUGGCGACCGGCGCACGGGUGAGUAACGCGUAUCCAACCUUCCGUACACUCAGGGAUAGCCUUUCGAAAGAAAGAUUAAUACCUGAUGGUAUGAUGAGAUCGCAUGGUAUCAUCAUUAAAGAUUUAUCGGUGUACGAUGGGGAUGCGUUCCAUUAGGUAGUAGGCGGGGUAACGGCCCACCUAGCCUACGAUGGAUAGGGGUUCUGAGAGGAAGGUCCCCCACAUUGGAACUGAGACACGGUCCAAACUCCUACGGGAGGCAGCAGUGAGGAAUAUUGGGUCAAUGGACGAGAGUCUGAACCAGCCAAGUAGCGUGAAGGAUGAAGGUCCUACGGAUUGUAAACUUCUUUUAUAAGGGAAUAAAACCUCCCACGUGUGGGAGCUUGUAUGUACCUUAUGAAUAAGCAUCGGCUAACUCCGUGCCAGCAGCCG
rnacentral:rRNA from 1 species